CGAUGACGAAGGCCACCCCCGCGCAGGAU
rnacentral:sRNA from 1 species